rnacentral:rRNA from 1 species
UACGGAGGGGGCGAGCGUUGUUCGGAAUUACUGGGCGUAAAGGGCGCGUAGGCGGUUUCACAAGUCAGGAGUGAAAAUUUCGGGCUCAACCCGGGACGUGCUUUUGAAACUGUGGGACUAGAGACAGGCAGAGGGUGGUGGAAUUCCCCGUGUAGAGGUGAAAUUCGUAGAUAUGGGGAGGAAGACCGGAGGCGAAGGCGGCCACCUGGACCUGCACUGACGCUGAGGCGCGAAAGCGUGGGGAGCAAACAGG